rnacentral:lncRNA from 1 species
CUUUUAUAAUUGUUCUGCAUAAUGUAUUAUCACUGACAACAACCUGAUCGUGUUGCUUUGUUAACUUUUUAAUCUGUUCUGGCUUUGUUUCAGUGCUAGUCUCAAGAAAUUGGACUCACCAGCUCCAGACUGAGCUGUGUAAAAUGAAAUCUGAUAUAAAAAAUGGAGAGCUGAAGUUGAAGAGCUACAAAAUGAACUGGUUACAAUGAGUGACUACUAGUCUGUCAAAAAUAAUUCUAGCAAGUGAUUCACGUAAGCAUGUGGAUAUCUGUGGCUGUUUAUCAAUUUAAUCCAAGGAAGUCUACUGCAGAUGCAUCUGGAAGACUGAAAGACGAUUGUUCAAGAGCACAAGCAGCCUUCAGUGGACAAUCAGAGUGUGCCUACAGCUGGAGAAGCUCACUGGCGUGACGCCUUUGUUGCUCAUAAAUCUGAUUUCACAGAACUUGAAAGGAAGUUGGAUGAUACCAAAAAGGAACUGGAGGAGGUGCAUGCUGAUCUUGUCAUGGUCAUGCAGGAACUUGAUUUGGCAAGAGCUGAGGUAUAACUAUGUGUUCGGACAUCAUCUGAAUGAAUGCUCCAGUACCAGUUUUGUUUUCUUUUGUGGUAGUGGUUAGUGAAUGAUUCUUGUAUAUGUAUAGAUAUAGAUAUUUAAUAAAGAAGGACAUUUUAUUCUGAAUUUUCA